GAUGAACGCUAGCUACAGGCUUAACACAUGCAAGUCGAGGGGCAGCAUGAACUUAGCUUGCUAAGUUUGAUGGCGACCGGCGCACGGGUGAGUAACACGUAUCCAACCUUCCGUUUACUCAGGGAUAGCCUUUCGAAAGAAAGAUUAAUACCUGAUAGUAUGGUGAGAUUGCAUGAUAACACCAUUAAAGAUUUAUUGGUAAACGAUGGGGAUGCGUUCCAUUAGGUAGUAGGCGGGGUAACGGCCCACCUAGCCUGCGAUGGAUAGGGGUUCUGAGAGGAAGGUCCCCCACAUUGGAACUGAGACACGGUCCAAAACUCCUACGGGAGGCAGCAGUGAGGAAUAUUGGUCAAUGGGCGAGAGCCUGAACCAGCCAAGUAGCGUGAAGGAUGAAGGUCCUACGGAUUGUAAACUUCUUUAUACGGGAAUAAAGUUUCCUACGUGUAGGAUUUUGUAUGUACCGUAUGAAUAAGCAUCGGCUAAACUCCGUG
rnacentral:rRNA from 1 species